CAGACGUGGGGGAUAACGUAGGGAAACUUACGCUAAUACCGCAUACGUCCUACGGGAGAAAGCGGGGGAUCUUUUAGACCUCGCGCGGUUGGAUGGACCGAUGUUCGAUUAGCUAGUUGGUGAGGUAAUGGCUCACCAAGGCGACGAUCGAUAGCUGGUCUGAGAGGAUGAUCAGCCACACUGGGACUGAGACACGGCCCAGACUCCUACGGGAGGCAGCAGUGGGGAAUAUUGGACAAUGGGCGCAAGCCUGAUCCAGCAAUGCCGCGUGUGUGAAGAAGGCCUUCGGGUUGUAAAGCACUUUUAUCAGGAGCGAAAUACUACCGGCUAAUAUCCGGUGGGGCUGACGGUACCUGAGGAAUAAGCACCGGCUAACUUCGUGCCAGCAGCCGCGGUAAUACGAAGGGUGCAAGCGUUAAUCGGAAUUACUGGGCGUAAAGCGUGCGUAGGCGGUUAUUUAAGUCUGCUGUGAAAUCCCCGGGCUCAACCUGGGAAUGGCAGUGGAUACUGGAUAGCUAGAGUGUGAUAGAGGAUGGUGGAAUUCCCGGUGUAGCGGUGAAAUGCGUAGAGAUCGGGAGGAACAUCAGUGGCGAAGGCGGCCAUCUGGAUCAACACUGACGCUGAGGC
rnacentral:rRNA from 1 species